UGCAAUGAUGGUUGUAAUUUGCGUCAGAUAGUUAGCAGGUUGACAGUAGCCUGCUGUUAUAUACCUGCUAGCUUUAUAUGAUGACAAUACCUGCUGAGCA